rnacentral:rRNA from 1 species
GAUGAACGUUGGCGGCGUGCUUAACACAUGCAAGUCGAACGAACCCAAUUCUUCGGAUGAGGGUUAGUGGCAAACGGGUGAGUAACACGUAGGUGACCUGCCCCAAAGCGGGGGAUAACGGCUGGAAACGGUCGCUAAUACCGCAUGUGCCCGGCGAUUCGGUUCGCCGAGUAACGCUUUGGCGCUUUGGGAGGGGCCUGCGGCCGAUUAGCUAGUUGGUGAGGUAAUGGCUCACCAAGGCAAUGAUCGGUAGGGGGCGUGAGAGCGUGACCCCCCACACUGGGACUGAGACACGGCCCAGACUCCUACGGGAGGCGACAGUGAGGAAUAUUGCACAAUGGGCGAAAGCCGGAUGCAGCAACGCCGCGUGGAGGAAGAAGGCCUUCGGGUCGUAAACUCCUUUUCUGGGGGAAGAGAAAGGACGGUACCUGCAGAAAAAGCACCGGCUAACUACGUGCCAGCCGCCGCAGUAACAC